AUGUAAAUUCAUUUUGCCGAAAUUCAGAGAUUUUCGAUCUCCUCGAAAGAAAAUGAGUUCGAUCAGCAACACCGGUCUCCGCAGCACUAGGAUAAAGACCUUUUUACCCAUAACCUUUCUCUGCAGCAUUGGAGCCAAGAUCGGGCUUGGCAUAGUUACAAGGUUCCCGUUCUAGUUAACUAA
rnacentral:rRNA from 1 species